rnacentral:rRNA from 1 species
AAGAGGGGCUUGCGGCUGAUUAGCUAGUUGGUGGGGGUAAAAGCCUCCCAAGGCCACGAUCAGUAGCUGGUCUGAGAGGAUGAUCAGCCACACUGGGACUGAGACACGGCCCAGACUCCUACGGGAGGCAGCAGUGAGGAAUUUUCCACAAUGGGCGAAAGCCUGAUGGAGCAAUGCCGCGUGGAGGAAGAAGGUCUGUGGAUUGUAAACUCCUUUUCUCAGAGAAGAAAAAAUGACGGUAUCUGAGGAAUAAGCUCCGGCUAACCCUGUGCCAGCAGCCGCGGUAAGACAGGGGGAGCAAGCGUUAUCCGGAAUGAUUGGGCGUAAAGCGUCUGUAGGUGGUCCAAAAAGUCCACUGUCAAAUGCGUUGGCUCAACCAACGAAAGGCAGUAGAGAACUAGGGGACUAGAGUGCGGUAGAGGUAGAGGGAAUCCCUAGCGUAACAGUGAAAUGUGUAGAUUUUAGGGAGAACACCAGUGGCGAAGGCGCUCUACUGGGCCGAUUCACUGACACUGAGAGACGAAAGCUAAGGGAGCGAAAAGGAUUAGAUACCCUUGUAGUCUUAGCUGUAAACGAUGGAAACUAAGUGGGGGAAAACCCCUGCUGGAGCUAACGCGUUAAGUUUCCCGCCUGGGGAGUAUGCUCGCAAGAGUGAAACUCAAAGGAAUUGACGGGAACCCGCACAAGCGGUGGAUUAUGUGGAUUAAUUCGAUGCAACGCGA